rnacentral:misc_RNA from 1 species
AGCGCGCCCCGACUUGAGUGGAGCUCUUUUUCUUUUUUUGCUAAAAAAGAAAAAAGCGGGAACGGAGGCGGAUAAAGGC